rnacentral:sRNA from 12 species
GGCUGCAACAACCCCGUGGAUGGGGGAGGCUUGAUCGGCCCGGUGUCCGCUGCUGGGCUUCUUGAAAUCUUCAGUGCAUCCACUGCAGCU